UACGUAGGGUGCAAGCGUUAAUCGGAAUUACUGGGCGUAAAGCGUGCGCAGGCGGUUCGCUAAGACCGAUGUGAAAUCCCCGGGCUUAACCUGGGAACUGCAUUGGUGACUGGCGGGCUAGAGUAUGGCAGAGGGGGGUAGAAUUCCACGUGUAGCAGUGAAAUGCGUAGAGAUGCGGAGGAACACCGAUGGCGAAGGCAGCCCCCUGGGCUAGCACUGACGCUCAGGCACGAAAGCGUGGGGAGCAAACAGG
rnacentral:rRNA from 1 species